UAAGUGGAAGCCAAUUUCGGCAUUUAUCUGUUACAUAAACCUCAGCUUUUUAGCCCACUUAA
rnacentral:tRNA from 1 species